rnacentral:tRNA from 224 species
GCGGCUGUAGCUCAGUGGAUAGAGUAUUGGCCUCCGAAGCCAAGGGUCGUGGGUUCGAUCCCCGCCAGCCGCGCCA